GAAGACAUGUUGUACACAGUGUGUUUGAUAAGCUGACAUGGGACAGGAUUUCUUUUCGUUGUUGUGUCAGUAUAUCAAACUCAUACCUGGACAUC
rnacentral:pre_miRNA from 1 species